CUCUAUUACAUGUACUUGUGUAUUUCUUUUAUAAAUUGUAUUUGUAAGAGUAGUUUCAUUAGAAUACUUGUGAUUAAAUGUAUGUACUUUUACUCAGGGAUAUUUGGGCACUUUUUCGCACUGUGAAAUUUAAUUAAUGUUCCGUUUCUUAUUACACGAGUGAAAAUUAAAACUGUAUUCCUUUUUUUAAUGCAAAUAAUUAAUUAUUCAGUUAUUAAAAUAAUCAUUAGUUGCAGCCGUUGCACACUGUUUUCAGGGGUUAAAGAAAAUUCCUCAUUAUAGUAUAAUAUUGUGGUAUUGUAUUUUUAUUGGUCAUACAUUCAUAAGUUUAGGUAUCUUUAUAAGAUACCUGUGCAAAAUCUGUGUAAUAUUUUGGCUUUUAUUUUCACAGAGCCAUAAUGUCAAAAAGGAAGAACAGGAUACAGCCUGUUGAUGAUGCAACAUCAUAUAUUCUGUCUUCGAGGGACAAGCCGGGAUUUAUAGAAAGAUUUAUUAAUAGUAACAAAGGAAGAGGAGUGUUUGUUACCCAGCCCAUUGAACCAGGAGCUUUCCUCUUGGAAUACAGAGGUGAACUCUUAUCAGUUGAAGAAUGCCGGUCCAGACACUACUCGGAGAAACAGAGUACAUUUCUGUUUGAAUUUGAAUGGCAAAAACGUCGCUGGGGGUAAGAAAGUUUUGCAUUUUGCAGAAAUUAUGUUUUGAUUGCAAUCUCAAACAAGGUUUUGAAUGGUUAAUGAAUGACAACAGGAACAAUCUUUGUAAUCACACAUAGAAUAGACUUAACAAUUUAGUCUAAUAAAUUAGUUUAAGUCUGUAACAUAAGUUGUCAUCAAGGAGACUUGGUAUGUUAUAGUAUCUUAUUCUCGUCACACUGUUAAAACAUGUAUAUUAAAAGGAAUUGAUAACAAAAGUGUAAAUAGGUGCACACUUUAGAAUUAAACAUUUUUCUUUUACAUUUUUAGUAUUGAUGCAUCAAAAGAAGACGGCUCUCUUGGAAGAUUAGUGAAUGACAAUCACAGAUCUCCAAAUUGCAUCAUGAAAAAAAAUCAUAGUAAACAACACACCACAUAUGUGUCUAUUUGCUGUGAAAAAAAUAGAAAUCGGAUCUGAAAUUGAGUACAACUACGGUGAUUGGCGUAAAAUGGUACUUUGUUUUUGCUAAUUUGUGUAAAAAUGUGUUGCAAAAGUAAAAAUUGGUGAACUAGUGCACGACAGCUACUGUUUUAUGUCUGUCUCCAUAAUGCAUUGUGACUUGUUGAUAAGCAUUCAGCUAAACUUUAAAAAAUGGCAUAUUUCUGAAAAAGAGCAAAUUGUGUCUGUCAGCAUGUAGUGUUUUAUUGUUUGUAUCUGAAUUCCAGCAAACAAACAAGCAGACUUCUCCUGUGGCAGCAGAGAUCGAGAUGUCCCCCAUAGAUGGUGCUUUGCAUGAGAAUUCAAACCAGAAUGAUGCUUGUGCACAGGUAACAAACAAGAUGGCUUCUGCUGUGGCAGUAGAGACUGAGAUGUCCCCCAUACAUGGUGCUUCACAUGAGGAUUCAGACCAAGAUGAUGCUUAUGCACAGGUAAUGU